rnacentral:rRNA from 1 species
UACGGAGGGUGCGAGCGUUGUCCGGAAUCAUUGGGCGUAAAGGGCGCGUAGGUGGCCCGGUAAGCGUGCGGUGAAAGGCUUGGGGCUCAACCCCGAGUCGGCCGUGCGAACUGCUGGGCUUGAGCACUGUAGAGGCAGGCGGAAUUCCGGGUGUAGCGGUGGAAUGCGUAGAUAUCUGGAGGAAUACCGGUGGCGAAGGCGGCAUCCUGGACCGACAUUGACGCUGAACGGCGAAAGCUAGGGGAGCAAACGGG